UCAUUCCUCUGCCACUAGCUACCACUUUUUUCUUUCGUCCCCUCUCUUGGCUCUUCACCUGAAGUAUCUUUUUGGCCCCAUCAAUUUCAUAUCAAAACUUUCAACACAUUUUCUUAUGCCUCUUAAUUAUUUUUAUAAUCUAGUACUAGUAAAUCAUAGAAACAUGGCAUUUGAAGAAAAAUAUAUCACAUUUCACUAAUUUCCAGAUAUG
rnacentral:lncRNA from 1 species